rnacentral:rRNA from 1 species
UGGGGAAUAUUGGACAAUGGGCGCAAGCCUGAUCCAGCCAUGCCGCGUGAGUGAUGAAGGCCCUAGGGUUGUAAAGCUCUUUCACCCGUGACGAUGAUGACGGUAACGGGAGAAGAAGCCCCGGCUAACUUCGUGCCAGCAGCCGCGGUAAUACGAAGGGGGCAAGCGUUGUUCGGAAUUACUGGGCGUAAAGGGCGCGUAGGCGGACUGUCGCGUCAGGCGUGAAAGCCCCGGGCUCAACCUGGGAAUUGCGCUUGAUACGGGCAGUCUUGAAUCCGGGAGAGGGUGGUGGAAUUCCCAGUGUAGAGGUGAAAUUCGUAGAUAUUGGGAAGAACACCGAUGGCGAAGGCAGCCACCUGGCCCGCGAUUGACGCUGAGGCGCGAAAGCGUGGGGAGCAAACA